GACGUAGGGCGCGAGCGUUGUCCGGAUUUAUUGGGCGUAAAGAGCGCGUAGGCGGCCAGAUAAGUCCGGUGUGAAAGUCACAGGCUCAACCUGUGAAUGCCGCUGGAAACUGUCUGGCUAGAGUCCGGAAGGGGCGAGUGGAAUUCCUGGUGUAGCGGUGAAAUGCGCAGAUAUCAGGAGGAACACCAAUGGCGAAGGCAGCUCGCUGGGACGGUACUGACGCUGAGGCGCGAAAGCGUGGGGAGCGAACAGG
rnacentral:rRNA from 1 species